rnacentral:piRNA from 1 species
GUUUUGAAUCAAUGAACACAGGCACAC